GACGAACGCUGGCGGCGUGCUUAACACAUGCAAGUCGGACGGAGAGCGCGGGCGCUUGCUCCCUCCGGAACAGUGGAAAGCGGGUGUGUAACGCGUGUGACCUCCGCCCCGCACUCGGGGAUCAGCGGGGGACACGGCGUCUUAUCCCAGAUACGCUCCGGCUGCGCGUUCUCUGCGGGAGGAAAGCACCGCGGUGCGGGAGGCGCGCGCGGCCUAUCAGCUUGUUGGUGAGGUAGGGGCUCACCAAGGCGGCGACGGGUGGCCGGCCUGAGAGGGUGACCGGCCACACUGGGACUGAGACACGGCCCAGACUCCUACGGGAGGCAGCAGUGGGGAAUAUUGCACAAUGGGCGGAAGCCUGAUGCAGCAACGCCGCGUGAGGGACGACGGCCUUCGGGUUGUAAACCUCUUUUGGCAGGGAAGAAGCGAAAGUGACGGUACCUGGUGAAGAAGCACCGGCUAACUACGUG
rnacentral:rRNA from 1 species